UUAAAAGUCAUUCUAAUUUGGUCCACUUUUUAAACCACAAUCCAUAUUAUCCAUUUACAAUCCAUUAUCCAUUUCUACAAUAUAAUCCAUAACCAUUUUUUUCAUUAAGUAAUAAAAAGAAGAAUGAUAAGGAGGUGAACUACAAGCUUCUAAAGCUGCAGUAUAGGCUACGGUACAAAUACGAUACAAGGAAAUGAAAUUGCAUAAGCUUAGUAGCCAACACUCAUAAGCCGCGAGCUACACUUCCAAAUACUUCCAACUGCUACAAAGUGCAUCCAAAACCAAGAAAAUGCAGCCUAAACACAAUAAGCAGCGGCUCCAACAAUAAGCACUUGAAACGCGUACCAAGCCUGCAUCACAGCCAACAAGCUAGCACCGGAACUCAAACACCAAAGCAUGAACGGUAGCUAGCUGCAAGCGCAAAAGAGAAACACAGUGAGAAUAACAACAAGCCAAGUUGCGGUGGAUAAUUGAAAACGGAAAGGUACACGUGUAAGCUCAGUUUAACAGCCAAGAACACCGGCUGCAACCCAAUGCUAAACAACAACAAGCUCCAACCUGCAGAGCACAAAAUUGCACCAAACCAAGCCUGAAGCGGUGCAAAACGAUGACCCAACAAGCUAGAAAAACAAUUCAAGCCACAAGCUUCAACAACAGCUUAACAGCUUCUUAAAGACGGCAAGGUGCAGCCAACACUUCAAGCUUCAAGCUGGAAACACACGAGCCAAUUGAAACGGCAAUGUAAACUAAUAACCAAUUCACUGCAUAAAUAAAAAUUGACCUGCAUAAUUUCACAAUCCAAUAACAGGUUCCUAACAAAUUUCCUAACUUCGAAUCUCACUCUCCAUCACUCUAUAUAAAUCAAUCUUCACCUAUCUCAAGCCUCUUCCCAGAUUUUUCUUCUUCAACCUCACCGCAUCUCUAACCAACCUUUCUCCCAGCCAUCACCGUAACAAUCUUCGCCUUCAACCAAAACCUUCAGUCAAACCUCCAUUUCCAAUCCACAACAACUCCACCAAUCGCACCAUAACACGUUACUCAACCUUCACAUCACAAUAAUAUAAUUCAAAGAAAAAGUUCAUAACAGAAGCAGAGAAGAGGACAAAGAAUCGAUCGAAAAUCCGGCGAAAGAGUCGACAC
rnacentral:lncRNA from 1 species